UACGAAGGGGGCUAGCGUUGCUCGGAAUCACUGGGCGUAAAGCGCACGUAGGCGGCUUGUUAAGUCAGGGGUGAAAUCCUGGAGCUCAACUCCAGAACUGCCUUUGAUACUGAGAAGCUUGAGUCCGGGAGAGGUGAGUGGAACUGCGAGUGUAGAGGUGAAAUUCGUAGAUAUUCGCAAGAACACCAGUGGCGAAGGCGGGUCUCUGGGCCGAUACUGACGCUGAGGAGCGAAAGCGUGGGGAGCGAACAGG
rnacentral:rRNA from 1 species